GACGAACGCUGGCGGCAUGCCUAAUACAUGCAAGUCGAGCGAGUGAAACUAACAAUCAUCCUUCGGGGCGUGCGUUAGUGGAUCUAGCGGCGGAUGGGUGAGUAACACGUGGGCAACCUGCCUGUAAGACUGGGAUAACUCGCGGAAACGCGAGCUAAUACCGGAUAACUUUUCGAAUCGCAUGAUUCGGAAUUAAAAGAUGGCUUUGCUAUCACUUACAGAUGGGCCCGCGGCGCAUUAGCUAGUUGGUAGGGUAAGAGCCUACCAAGGCGACGAUGCGUAGCCGACCUGAGAGGGUGAUCGGCCACACUGGGACUGAGACACGGCCCAGACUCCUACGGGAGGCAGCAGUAGGGAAUCUUCCGCAAUGGACGAAAGUCUGACGGAGCAAUGCCGCGUGAGUGAUGAAGGUCUUCGGAUCGUAAAACUCUGUUGUCAGGGAAGAACAAGUGCCGUUUGAAUAAGGCGGCACCUUGACGGUACCUGACCAGAAAGCCACGGCUAACUACGUGCCAGCAGCCGCGGUAAUACGUAGGUGGCAAGCGUUGUCCGGAAUUAUUGGGCGUAAAGGGCUCGCAGGCGGUUUCUUAAGUCUGAUGUGAAAUCUUGCAGCUUAACUGCAAGCGGUCAUUGGAAACUGGGGAACUUGAGUACAGAAGAGGAGAGUGGAAUUCCACGUGUAGCGGUGAAAUGCGUAGAGAUGUGGAGGAACACCAGUGGCGAAGGCGACUCUCUGGUCUGUAACUGACGCUGAGGAGCGAAAGCGUGGGUAGCGAACAGGAUUAGAUACCCUGGUAGUCCACGCCGUAAACGAUGAGUGCUAGGUGUCAGGGGGUUUCCGCCCCUUGGUGCUGGAGUUAACGCAUUAAGCACUCCGCCUGGGGAGUACGGCCGCAAGGCUGAAACUCAAAAGAAUUGACGGGGACCCGCACAAGCGGUGGAGCAUGUGGUUUAAUUCGAAGCAACGCGAAGAACCUUACCAGGUCUUGACAUCCUCUGACAACCCUAGAGAUAGGGCCUUCCCUUCGGGGACAGAGUGACAGGUGGUGCAUGGUUGUCGUCAGCUCGUGUCGUGAGAUGUUGGGUUAAGUCCCGCAACGAGCGCAACCCUUGAUCUUAGUUGCCAGCAUUAAGUUGGGCACUCUAAGGUGACUGCCGGUGACAAACCGGAGGAAGGUGGGGAUGACGUCAAAUCAUCAUGCCCCUUAUGACCUGGGCUACACACGUGCUACAAUGGAUGGUACAGAGGGCAGCUAAACCGUGAGGUCAAGCAAAUCCCAUAAAACCAUUCUCAGUUCGGAUUGCAGGCUGCAAUUCGCCUGCAUGAAGCCGGAAUCGCUAGUAAUCGUGGAUCAGAACGCCACGGUGAAUACGUUCCCGGGUCU
rnacentral:rRNA from 1 species